UUCUUUUUUUUUUUUUUUUUUUUUCAUUAGUUUUAAUGUACCAUAUUCAUAUGUAUCUGUUAUUAGGACAACCAUAUUUUCUUAUUGGUCAUUUAAGUCAAACUGUACAUAAAGGUGCUUACUUUGUCAUAUUUACUGAGAGUUGGCAACAAUGUUUGUGUUACAGUUAUCCUUUGCAAUGUCUUAGUUUGUUAAUUAUGCUGUUGUGUGAAGAUCUUUGAUGUUGUAAGCAUAAUAUCAU